GUCGGAGUCACAUUGGUGUGACGUCACCUCCCAUCUUCGAAUAAUUGGCUAGAGGAUGAGCUGUCCAUCAAGAACUAGUGGACCAAUGGGGACGCAAAAUGCCCCCUGAUUUACAUGAAACUCUACUCGCAAGUUUUGGAAAACCAAGCGCAGAAAUUGGAAACAAAAGCAAAGAAAAAUACAGCAUUUGUUCUUGCAAUGCCACAACAAAUUACAGGGAUGCAAACUCAAGAAGGGCGAAAAAGAGGCUGGAGUUUGUUUUGAGGAGGAACACACCUUCGGGACAGUUAUGUGGAUAAAUCUACACGUUUUUUGUGUUUAUCCUGCCUGUUGGCUGGAGUUUGUUUUAUAGAUUAUCUUCUGUUGUGUAAUUGUGUCUUACAAAAUUUUUAUAGAAACACCGGACUUGAGCAAUCCGACAGCAAAGUUGUUGCUGGGGAUCUUGUAGGUGUAACUGGACUGUUUGAGCUUAGAGGGAUGGAUGCCGGUUGGCACUGUCAUGCACGGGGUUAAUGUGCACGUUUUUCUUUUUGUUUGGUUUGGGGGAGGUUCGGGUUUGAUUGUUGCACUAAUGUGGAAUGUGAUUAUCAUUUUAUUUUUUACACACAAUCUAUUUUUUCUAAUAUGUCAAAAUGUCAAAUGUUAGUAUGAGUGGAUUGUCUCUCUCCACAUGGAAUGUGAAAGGGUUGGGGCACCCCAUAAAAAAGAAGGAAAGAUAUUUUUCUUCUUAAACGAUAGAAAUAUGAUAUAGUGUUUCUUCAAGCAAUGCAUCUUUCCCUGCAGGA